AAGUGUACCACAGUGCUUCAUUCUAGUGAAAGCGUCGUACAAAAACCUCCGUCACACUCAAAUGAACACAAACUCCAGCAGAGAAAGAGACGAACGACACUCACACACACUGAUAUGAGACUCAACAGCAGCUCUUCUCAACAUCAACAUGAUUGAUCUGAAAACACACACUAAAUAUUCCUCUUUAAAUGAAAUACAUGUUAUUGCGAGAAGGCUGUAAUCAUUUGUUUCAUAGUCAGCCAUAAAAUGCAUUGACUUUACAAACACAUGUGAUUUAAAGUCCACUAAUUCUAUUGAACUGCUUUAUAAUGAAAUCUUCAGCCAGAUUUAGAUGGUCAUUCUCUAUUGGAUGACCUUUGACCUGUUCUACAGUAUCAUGAUGAUAUCAGAUCUGCAGCACAGGUAUUAAAUGCUCUCAGCAUCAAAGUCUGAAUGAAACUGAUCAUUAAAACAGUGUUUAGAGGGAGAAGAUCCACCCAAAAUAACAUGAAGUAAAUCAGGAGUGUCUGUUUCUGAAAAUGAUCAAUAGAAAUUUAUUAGCAAAGAUACUAAAUGACAAAACAGUGUUUCUGCUGUCUUCAGGUAAAUGAUCUGGAGUGUGUUUGCAUAUUGAUCAGAUGCUUCAGUGCUCUGAGAGUGUUUAUAGUGCUGUGAGUUUAACACUUCAUCACUGACACACACAACAAUCUUCAUCAACAUGACCUUCAUCAUCAUCUGGACGCUCUUAUACUGCUUUAUACUACAAGGCUGUAGAGCUCAGAUCACAGUGACUCAAACUCCUGCAGUGAAAACUGUUAAACCAGGAGAAAAUGUUGAGAUGAGCUGUAAACUCAGUACUGCUACUACACACUGCAGCCCACCCUGUGUGUUCUGGUACUUACAGAAACCUGGAGAAGCUCCUAAACUCCUGAUUUAUAGAACAAACACCCUCCAGUCAGGAACUCCAUCUAGAUUCAGUGGCAGUAAAUCAUCUGGGAGUGAUUUCACUCUGACCAUCAGUGGAGUCCAGACUGAAGAUGCUGGACAUUAUUACUGUCUGAGUUAUCACUACAUCAGUAACUGGGUGUUCACACAGUGA